CUACGGAGGGUCCGAGCGUUAAUCGGAAUUACUGGGCGUAAAGCGCGCGUAGGCGGAUAUUUAAGUCAGAUGUGAAAUCCCUGGGCUCAACCUAGGAACUGCAUUUGAAACUGGAUAUCUAGAGUAUGAUAGAGGUGAGUGGAAUUUCAGGUGUGGCGGUGAAAUGCGUAGAGAUCUGAAGGAACAUCAGUGGCGAAGGCGACUCACUGGGCCAUUACUGACGCUGAGGUGCGAAAGCGUGGGUAGCAAACAGGAUUAGAAACCCUAGUAGUCC
rnacentral:rRNA from 1 species